GGUGAGUAAUGCGUAGGAAUUUAUAUUAGAGUCGAGGAUAGCCUGUGGAAACAUAGGGUAAUACUGGAUGUUCCUGAGAAGGUAAAGCUGGGGACCUUUUGGCCUGGCGCUCUAGAGUGAGCUUACGUUAGAUUAGCUAGUUGGUAGGGUAAAGGCCUACCAAGGCUGAGAUCUAUAGCUGUUUUGAGAGGAAGAACAGCCACACUGGGACUGAGACACGGCCCAGACUCUUACGGGAGGCAGCAGUGGGGAAUCUUGGACAAUGGGCGAAAGCCUGAUCCAGCAAUGCCGCGUGUGUGAAGAAGGCCUUCGGGUUGUAAAGCACUUUCAGUGGGGAGGAUGUUAACCUUUUUUAAUAAAGAAGGUUGAUGACGUUACCCACAGAAGAAGCACCGGCUAACUCUGUGCCAGCAGCCGCGGUAAUACAGAGGGUGCAAGCGUUAAUCGGAAUUACUGGGCGUAAAGGGUGAGCAGGUGGUAAAUUAAGUUAUGUGUGAAAUCUUUGAGCUUAACUUAAAAACUGCACAUAAUACUGAAUUACUAGAGUACUGUAGAGGAUAGUGGAAUUUCCGGUGUAGCGGUAAAAUGCGUAGAUAUCGGGAGGAACACCAGUGGCGAAGGCGACUAUCUGGACAGAUACUGACACUAAUACACGAAAGCGUGGGGAGCAAACAGGA
rnacentral:rRNA from 1 species